rnacentral:misc_RNA from 1 species
GUGGGAGUGUAAUGUCUUCCCUGUUCAUCCAAAACAAUAUUUCUGUUGGUGCUUCUGGUGCUCUCUUUGGACUUCUCGGAGCUAUGUUAUCGGAGCUUUUGACGAACUGGACAAUUUACACCAACAAGGCUGCUGCACUAUUCACCCUCAUUGUCAUCGUUGUUAUUAACUUGGCAGUUGGAAUUCUACCUCAUGUCGACAACUUUGCCCACAUUGG